rnacentral:rRNA from 1 species
GAUGAACGCUGGCGGCGCGCCUAGCACAUGCAAGUCGAACGAUUAAAGCACCUUCGGGUGUGUAUAAAGUGGCGAACGGCUGAGUAACACGUGGGCAACCUGCCCCUCUCAUUGGGAUAGCCACGGGAAACCGUGGAUAAUACCGAAUACUUCGGGACUUCCGCAUGGAAGACUCGAGAAAGCUCCGGCGGAGAGGGAUGGGCCCGCGGCCUGUUAGCUUGUUGGUGGGGUAAUGGCCUACCAAGGCAAUGAUGGGUAGCUGGGUUGAGAGACCGACCAGCCAGAUUGGGACUGAGACACGGCCCAGACUCCUACGGGAGGCAGCAGUGGGGAAUCUUGCACAAUGGGCGAAAGCCUGAUGCAGCGACGCCGCGUGCGGGAUGAAGGCCUUCGGGUUGUAAACCGCUUUCAGCAGGGACGAGGCGAAAGUGACGGUACCUGCAGAAGAAGCCCCGGCUAACUACGU